rnacentral:rRNA from 1 species
UACAGAGGGUGCGAGCGUUGUCCGGAAUCACUGGGCGUAAAGGGCGCGUAGGUGGUGGCUUAAGCGUGCGGUGAAAGCUCGGAGCUCAACUCCGAGUCGGCCUGCGAACUGGGCUCACUGGAGCAUAGUAGAGGCAGGUGGAAUUCCGGGUGUAGCGGUGGAAUGCGUAGAGAUCCGGAAGACACCGGUGGCGAAGGCGGCUCACUGGUCCGGUACUGACACUGAG